AUCAUUGCUAAAUGCUGGUCAAUUUCUGGCUGGCUGGCAGAUUCUCCUUCGCCUCUGAGAGGGUCGUGCAUCAACUUCAGCUCACUUUCCCAAGCACCUGCAGCUGUUGCUCGGCUGAAGCCAUUGCAUGAGAGAGAGACUGCAAAGCUACCUGGGCUGCUGAACUCAGGGCUGUCGAGGCUUCCCCAACUGUGCCAGAUGAUAGGCCACCUACUGCAGGAGGAACCCCGAAGGAACUCACUGGCAUGAGACAAGGGAAAGACAAAACAAGACACCAGGAUGAAGAAAAGGUACACAGAGUUACAUGGCCAA
rnacentral:lncRNA from 1 species